UUCUAUCACUACCAAACAGGCGCACUUUGCUUUCAUUUCAGAAGAGAACUGAUUCUCGUUGUUCGUCAGACCAAUGAGCGCUUUCUCUGGCAAAUCUGCAGGUAACCUUGACACUAGGUUACCUGCCUUAAGUCUUCUAACUGCCCAAGCUACUCCUAGCGUUUCUCUGAGCUAGUCAUGGACUUAAAAACCAGUGAGAGCCCGAUGUUACAGCGAUGUACUAACAAUUAAUCGAUCUUUUUCCUAGGAUAUUCACCUUUUCCUUCUGGAAUCGCGUCUUCGACGAAAGUUACCAGUUUCUUUGUAAUUCUGGAAACUGCAGACUGACUUAUGUUCGAUGCACUGGCCACUUCUCCCCGACUUGUCGCAAUAUGGUGACCGCUAGCGCAGCUUUAUUACUUGUUGUGCAUAUUUUCAGUUAGAAUUUUUGUUGACGACAACUCGAUGAAGAUGGUGCUAGAAUCGAAUGGUGGCUUAGAACGUCCACAAUGACCCCUAUAAUCAUCAGGAAGAUUUAUAACGGUUAAGACAGUUCCAAGAGAAGUGAUUGUUAAUUUUUUUGACAAAGUAAGCAUCGGAGCUAGUAUGAAGCAAGCGCAUUUAAGAUAUAGCUAGGGUAUGUCUUCAGGUCAAUUGGGUACCUGGUUUUAUAGUCAGGUGAAGAAGGCGUUUGAUUCGAUUAGCGGCUGAGAAGAUCGAAGCAACGUACGACUAUAGAGAAAGAAAA